UAGGGAAUCUUCCGCAAUGGACGCAAGUCUGACGGAGCAACGCCGCGUGAGUCAAGAAGGAUUUCGGUUCGUAAAACUCUGUUGUUAGAGAAGAACAGCGCAUAGAGUAACUGUUAUGCGUGUGACGGUAUCUAACCAGAAAGCCACGGCUAACUACGUGCCAGCAGCCGCGGUAAUACGUAGGUGGCAAGCGUUGUCCGGAUUUAUUGGGCGUAAAGCGAGCGCAGGCGGUCAAUUAAGUCUGAUGUGAAAGCCCCCGGCUCAACCGGGGAGGGUCAUUGGAAACUGGUUGACUUGAGUGCAGAAGAGGAGAGUGGAAUUCCAUGUGUAGCGGUGAAAUGCGUAGAUAUAUGGAGGAACACCAGUGGCGAAGGCGACUCUCUGGUCUGUAACUGACGCUGAGGUUCGAAAGCGUGGGUAGCAAACAGG
rnacentral:rRNA from 1 species